UACAGAGGGUGCUAGCGUUGUUCGGAAUUAUUGGGCGUAAAGCGCGUGUAGGCGGCCUAGUAAGUUGGGUGUGAAAGCCCUCGGCUUAACCGAGGAAGUGCGCCCAAAACCGCAAGGCUUGAGUACCGGAGAGGGUGGCGGAAUUCCCGGUGUAGAGGUGAAAUUCGUAGAUAUCGGGAGGAACACCAGUGGCGAAGGCGGCCACCUGGACGGAUACUGACGCUGAGACGCGAAAGCGUGGGUAGCAAACAG
rnacentral:rRNA from 1 species